rnacentral:tRNA from 1 species
ACAGUGGUAGUUCAGUGGUAGAAUUAUUGCCUUCUAAGCUGGAGAUCCAGGUUCAAGUCCCAGCCAUUGCA